GAGGGCCUUGAUUUGUUCUUAUUUUCACUGGAAUCCCGGUUACAGAAAAUAUUUUUCUUAAUGCCAUUAUUACUUCUUCCAAAGAUGGAACUCUUUUGAAUUCCUCUACAAAAGGAUAUCCUGAAAGACGAUCUCUGUAUACCAAGCUAUGUUUUCCUCCAUACUCAAAAAAAAUCUGAAGACGUGCUUUCAUUGGUAUCGGAUUCCUCAUCAUCGUUACUUCUGGUUAACUGAGUAAUCUUUCUAUACAUUUUCUACAUGUUCUAAUCAUUUCUUCAAUAUCUGAGUUCAUUCCAGGCCAAUAAAUCGUCUCCCUAGCUCUUCUUUUCGUUUCAUCUAUACCUUGAUUUGAACUGGUAAUCCCUGAUGAACUUGAACAUGCCUCUCUUUUGGAAUUACCAGCCUAUUAUCAUAUAAAACAAGACCAUUUUCUGUACUUAAUUCAUUUAAUAUUUUGGAAAAUGGUUGUGCUGAAUCGUUUUUACAAUUUUCCUUCAACUGCAUUGACUAAAUUUUGAUAUGUUUGAUCCUUCAUUGCCUCUUUUCUAAUAUCUUCUAUUAUUGGAUCAACGAAUCUUUCUUUAUCUUCUAAAUGAGUAGCUAUAAUAACAGCAACUCGAAUAACUUGUCCUCUGUGAUAUUCAACAUCUCUAUCCAACUCUUCAUCUUCCUCAGGAUGAGACACUGGUGAUCUCGAUAAUGUAUCUGGUACUUCAUGAUAUUUCCCCCUUUAUCCAUUUCGUUUCAAAUUGAUACAUUGAUAUUUUCAAUUUAAAUCUAUUUAGUCUAGCAUUAUCUAUGGUGUAAUUAUUAAAAAUAGAAACAAGUGGUUUAUAAUCCGUAAUUACACUAAAUGAAGGUAAGCCUUCUAGAUAUAAGUGGCAUUUCUUAAUAGCCCUCACUACACCCAAACAUUCUAAUUAUAUCAUGGAGUAUCUUGUUUCAGCACUUGAUAAAAAUCGGGAUUCUUCUUUGUGCUGCUGACAUAGCACAUAUCCUAAUCGAUUUCUUCUCGAUGUGUCAGUUUCAAGUUUGGUUUCUAAUCUUGGAUCGAACGGUGCUAAUGUUGGUGGGAAGUUAAAACUUCUUUAAUUUCCUUCAUUAAAAAGAAUGAUUUUUGGUCCAACACAUACUCUAUUUUUAACGAUAAAAGCUCUCUCAGUGGACCUACAACUUCACUAAUUCUUGAUGGUGGCUCUGCAAAAUCUUUAAUAGCAUUCUAUCUACUUGGAUCCACUUCAAUACUCUUCUUGGAUAAAAUUUAACCAUAAUAUUUUAAUUAAGUAAGAUUCUACGGACAUUCUUAAUAUGGUCUUCGAAAUUGUGUGAUACAGUGAGAAUGUCAUCUACAACUGUCCUCAGCAUCUCUAUCCAAUAGUGUUAUCCUAUAGUGUUUGAUAAACCUUUCAAUACCUCAUCUCUACAAAGACAAUAUGUGUCCCCCAUUGCUAUGAAUCCCAUCGGAGCUCUAUUAAAAAAAUAUCUACCCCAAGGAGUCAUGAAACACGUCAUUUUUCUUGAUUUUUCUUCCAGUUCCAUCUACCAAUAUCCCUGUUUUGCAUACAAUGUUGUAAAAAACUCAAUGUUCGUUGGAAUACUUGAUAUUAUAUCCCAAGGUGUUCUCAUGGGAUGGAUUGGCCUCUUAACUUAGUCAUUCGAUUUCUUAAGAUCCACACAUAUUCUCACUUUUCACUUGGUUUGGGUACAACUACUCAUGGGUGACACCAAUCUACUGCUUUA
rnacentral:lncRNA from 1 species